GAACUUUUCUAUGAUAUUCUAAUUUUUGAGAUGUAUAUUUUAAUUCCCUCACACAAGUGCUCCUCGCUUUUUUUGGACUUGAAUCAACAGUUCGGACCAGUGUCGCCACCUUGUGGACCAACUAAUUAGUGCACAAAAAACAAGCUGAUCAUACAGCGUAAACACGGUAGAUUCUUUCUUUCUUUUCUUUCUUUCUUUCUUUCUUUCUUUCUUUUCUUUUUUAAAUUUUAUUGAAAAAAAGGAAAAUAUAAAUAUAUGCAUGAAUAAAGAACACAUACAAAUAUAAACAUAGUACAUAUAAUAUCCACCUCAUUUUUAAAGUAAUUAAAAGUCAGUUAGUGAAUUGAAUGUGCGAGACUUCUUGUGUUAUUGACUUUCAGUAAUUUUUGCUGUACAAAAACAGUCAGUUAAGCUGCUUGAUAUCGCAUUUCUUUUUCUUUUUUUUCUUCUUUUUUUAUGUCAUAAUCACAAACACAAUGGUGUGGAGGUCAAAUAGCUUUAUCGUUUACUCCACUUUAAAAAAUCUCCAUGGGCCUAGCAGCUAAUAAAUUGAAAGUCUUGCACAAUUCCAAGAAAUUAAAAUAAGAUGGAUAAAGGGGAUAGAUUUUCAAUGAAUGACUUCCAUUUGGUUCUGUUUCUCACACAGAGCACCACACAGCUUCAUAGGAUUAGUGCACUAGGUAUGCGUUCAUAUGCUGUUAUGAUGUUUUUGGGACAGUUGUGGUAAUUCUGAACUGUUGUUGUGUGUAAAACAUUCUUAUUUGAACAAAUAACCUAACUCAGGUUUGUGUGGUUGAGUGUUUUCUCAGUGUUGGAGUUGUCCUGAAGCCGCCGCUGUGAUGGUCAUGUGAUGUGAUGGGGGUCGUAACCAGGUGUCUGACAGUCUGACAGAUUGUUGACACUGACUCCGAAAAAUCUCAAACUAUUUUUAUCUGCCCCUGUGUUUGGCUCCAAGCGACUUCAGAUUGACCGAUUGCAAGAAACAUCCGGAGCUCAAACGCCUGCUGAGCAGAAGGGCCGUCGGGUCGCGUCACCCCCAGCGGCUCCGAUCGGAUCUGUUCCAACUCAAUACAUCAUGCGUUCAGGUCCGGAGCGGCCCAAUCUCUCAUCCUGACACGCCUUCAUCCUUCAGUGUCCCGCCGGUGACAUCACUUCCUCCCUCUAUCUGCCGUGUGAUUGGACAGUAAUUGUUUGGAGCAAUAAAGCUCAUCUGAUAAGAGUAAAGACGAAUGUGCUGGAUUUGAUUUUAUUGUUCAGUGAUAUUUGCAGCGUAAAAGGUCUCGGAUGAGUUAUAAAAGUGGAUGUAAUCUCCUGUUGGAACGACUGGACCGUAUUACUGGAAACCAAAGUUUGUGUACAAACAUGUUUCUCUCAAUUAGAUUUGACUGAUUUGAUCAGUUUUAUCAAGCAUUCUGCAUUGCAUUUUUAUUUUUAUUUAUUUUUUAUAAUAAAGCAUUGUUUAUAUCUGAUAUAAACUAGCAGCGGCGGCAGCAGCAGCAAUGUGAUAAAUACAAAAAUUCAUUCAGUUUAUUUAAAUUAGACGUUUUUUUUCUGAGAAUUAAUAUUAUUUAGCUAAUUAUAUGAAAAUUAAAUUAUUAAAGGGAUCUUACAUCUUUCAGUGUGAAGGAUGAGGAACACACUCUUAUUCACUCUUAAAAAUAAAGUCUUAUUGGCAUUGAUGGCUUCAUGAUGAAAUUUUAACACUCCAUUCCACAA
ensembl:lncRNA